rnacentral:rRNA from 1 species
CCGCGGCAAGACGGAAAGACCCCGUGAACCUUUACUAUAGCUUGACACUGAACAUUGAGCCUUGAUGUGUAGGAUAGGUGGGAGGCUUUGAAGUGUGGACGCCAGUCUGCAUGGAGCCGACCUUGAAUACCACCCUUUAAUGUUUGAUGUUCUAACGUUGACCCGUGAUCCGGGUUGCGGACAGUGUCUGGUGGGUAGUUUGACUGGGGCGGUCUCCUCCUAAAGAGUAACGGAGGAGCACGAAGGUUGGCU